rnacentral:lncRNA from 10 species
CUUUUCCCGCACCGGUGGCCGGACUCUGCAUGAGUCACCGCCUGCCUGCAAGCCCAGAGCUCGCCGCACCCCCCUGCCUCUCCGCACCGUCCCACAGGCUGUGACCCUCCACCCAGCCAUAGACGGUUCUGCUCUUGGCACAAAGGAGGGCUUCUUAGCCGGGAAUAUGGCUGCCCGGGAGGGGCGACUUCUGUGCUUGUUUUUCCUUCCUGGCACUGAAAACAAGCACAUCCACCCAACAAAUAAAGACGCGGUCAAUGAAAGCAGCUGUGUUUCAAGGGGAGACAGGGAGCAAGCCAAGGAAUAAAUGAAAAGACCCAGUGACAAAAUGCCCAUUCAUCGGGUUCACUCGGCAAACAUUUACUGAAGCAUCUGUGUGCCAGGCACUGUCCUGAGUGCUGGGAAGACACAAAGAUGCCCUUCAGAACGAUGACCCCCGCCUCGCCCUCCGCUGGAACCGGGAGGCAGACACACACAUAAAUACGACACAGUCAACCGUCCCCAGUUCACAGCAUCUAAAGGAGCUAGGAAUGCAUGGGAUGCUUAUGGAAUGUGCGAGAACACGGAGACAAAGUCUCACUGUGUUCCCAGGCUGAUCCCCAACUCCUGAGCUCAAGCCAGCCACCAGCCUUGGCCUCCCAAAGUGCUGGGAUUACAGGCGUGAGCCACCACGCCGGGCCCAGAUGAACAGGUAAGAGACACAAGCAGCUCUGGGAACUGCAAGGUGAUUAGAAGAUGGGGGCAAGACUGAGCACAAAGGCGGGAGAGCACAGGAUGGAGCAGGUUAGGAAGCUGGUACAGGAAUCAGGACAGCGAUGCCAAGGUAAGGAAGGCAUCGGGGGUACAGGAAAAAGCAGAACUAAAUUCAGCAAAAUGCUCCCAGUUGACCAGAUCCUAUGGAAAAACCCUCAGCUGAACGCCUGGGGCACCCACUUACAAAGGCAAUCUUAUCUUAUAAAGAGAGGGAAUUCUCACACAGGUCACAGCAUGGAUGAACCUUGAGGACAUUUGCUAAGUGAGAGACAAAAAAGGACAAAUACUGUAUGAGUCCACUCAUAGGCGGUGGCUAGAGUAAUUAAAUUCACAUAAAAAAACAGAAAGUAGAAUGGGAGUGGCCAAGGGCUGCGGGAACAGCAAAUUGGUGUUUAAUGGGGACAGAGUUUUAGUUUGGGGAGAUGAAAAGUUCUGGAAUGGACGGUGGUGACAGUUGCACCCCCAUGCUUCAUGCCACUGAACUGUGCACUUAGAAAUGGUUAACGUGGCAAAUUUUAUGCUAUGUGGUUUUUAUCACAAUGAAAAUUUUAAAAUUUAAAAAGUUGGGGCUGGGCGCAGUGACUCAGGCCUGUAAUCCCAGCACUUUGGGAGCCAGGGGCAGGCGGAUCACUUGAGGCCAGGAGUUCGAGACCAGCCUGGCCAACAUGGUGAAACCCUGUCCCUACUAAAAAUACAAAAUUUAGCUGGGCAUGGUGGCGGAUGCCUGUAAUCCCAGCUACUUGGAAGGCUGAAGCAGGAGAAUCGCUUGAACCCGGGAGGCGGAAGUUGCAGUGAGCCAAGAUCACACCACUGCACUCCAGCCUGGGUGACAGAGCAAGACUCCGUCUCAAAAAAAUAAAUAAAAACAUAAAAAAUAAAUAAAUAAAAAGCAACCCUGGCCUGGAAGGUCUGUCAUCUUAGGUAUAUUUUUAACCAAGAAGUCCCAUCACCCUAAUGAGAUUCUGUAUACUUUGCUGCCCAAACCAUAACAGGUCCUCCUCCAAUAACCCAAAAUAAUUCACAGAUUGUUACCGACUCUACAAAUAUCUUAUUUUAUAAUUUUUCAGUCUUAUGAAUCAAUUUCAUUUCCAAGAGCCCUGUUGGGUAAGUAGCCCAAUUUCUGAACACUCCUCUCUUGAAGCUGUUGCUAAGAACCCACCAUCCCCAGCUUCUCAGCAUGGUAGGAACCAUGACUUAGCCAUUGCCUCCUCUAUGCCUAGUACUAUCCUAGGUCCUUCUUUAAACCAUUUCUAUCCCUCACAGUAACCCCAUGAGGAAGAUAUUAUUUCAAAGUCAGGCUGAGGAGGCCAAACAUCAGACCAGUUGUGUAACUUGCCCCCGGGUCCAUGCAGUGGGUUGAGAGUGAAACCAGGAUUCCUGGCAUAAAGUCUGCGCUUUUCCCACUCAUUCCACGUAGCUCCUAGUGCUUUCUUCCAUGGCGAUGGCAUUGAAGUGCAGAUCCGUCUUCUCAGUCCUGACUCCUAGACUUUUCCCUCCAACCCCCAAGGUGAUGGGAUAAAGAGAUAGGGCCUUUGGGAAGUUAGUGCUGUUAUUAAAAAGGCCCCAGGCUGGGUGCAAUAGCUCACGCCUAUAAUCCCAGCACUUUGGGAGGCUGAGACAGGUAGAUCACCUGAGGUCAGGAGUUCGAGACGAGCCUGGACAACAUGGUGAAUCCCCGUCUCUACCAAAAAUACAAAAAUUAGCUGGGCAUGGUAGCACACACCUAUAGUCCCAGCUGCUUGGGAGGCUGAGGCAGGAGAAUCUCUGGAACCCAGGAGGUGGAGGUUGCAGUGAGCCGAGGUUUCAGUGAGCCGAGAUUGCGUCAUUGCACUCCAGCCUAGGUGACAGAGCAAGACUCCAUCUCCAAAAAAAAAAAAAAAAAUUAAAAGGCGCCAGAGAGCUGCUUUCUCCUUCAGCCACAUAAGGGCACAACAACAAGGUGCCACGAAGCAAAGAGCCCUCACCAGACAUGGAAUCUGCGGGCGCCUUCUCAGCCUCCAGAACUAUCAGCAAUAAAUUUCUGUUGUUUAUAAAUUCCCCAGUCUAAGAUACUUUGUUAUAGCAACCUAAAUGGACUGAGACUGACACCCAUUGUGUAAUAUAACACUGAUGAUAACUGUUCCAAUCACUGGGCACCUACCCUGUGUCAGGAACUGCAUUUAUGAGCUUUAGGUGUUGACAGUAACCAUAUCGGGAGGUAUUAAUAUUCCUUGUUUCCGCCUUUUUUUUUAGUGUGCCAUUUGAUUCCAAAUGCUAUGCUCUUCCCACUUGGCUCUUCUGUUUUGUUUGUGCAAUCUGGGUUCGUCUCGGAAGUGUGUAUUUAAGGUUCUCUCCAGGUUAGAGAGAAUGUGGCAGCAUGCCUGAUGAUGUCACCCACUGCUUCUGUUAUACCCUGCCCAGCUUACCCCUUCCCUCUGGGCCUUUUAUAGGACCUUGUAUUUAGUCCAACAACAACAAUAGCACAACACCCAUAAACAAAACACCUCUGCAUAUAAUACAAUGUACUUGCCUACUUGCUGACUGAAAGAGCUCCCACAGCCUCCCAGGUGCUGCCCUGCGCUUGGAGCAAAGCCUAUCUGAGGCUGAAGAAUGAGUAAGUCACCACCUGAAUCCUGCCCUCCAGCCAGCUCUCUUCAUCAUGGAAAUUCUUGGAGCAGAGUGGAAGGGAACCUGAGAGGAGAGAUGGCACCUUCACUGAUUCCUCCUUUAUCUUUCCAGACUUCAUGGCUGAGACAGAGCUGAGAGCAGAGAAAACAGACUCAUAAAAUCCUGGCAGAAUCUUUCCAUUCUAAUAGAGAAAAGAGGAAGGUAUGGAAAAGAGUGAAAUUGGCAUAAAAAAUCCAAUAAAGGGCAACGAGCAGGAAACAACAAAAACAUGGGAAACUGCCGACCUGAGGAAUCGCGCUCUUCUAACUUUACAGCUUCACCUGCCGUGUUUGCUCCUGGAGGACUGAGACUUUUGUCUGAUUCGUCUGCUGCUGUCUUCCCGAUGCCUAGAACACUGCCUGAUGCACGGGAAGUAUUUGUCAGAUACAUCCCAUGGCUUCUAAUGCCAUUUGCAAGGAUGAAAGCUGGGUGUGCCCGGCUGUACGGCAAUACUUCCAAAGGCCUGUAGGACUCCCCAGUGACUGUCCCAUUCACCAGGAGGAGGACUGCAGUCACCUGCAUUGUCCUGGGAAGGUCAGCCAGGCCUUUUCCCAAUGUCUGUCUGGGAAAAGCCCCGGUGUAGUCUGCUCGGUCCUACACCCAGAAUCACGGGGGCUUCAGGAGCAGGCAUUACGAGGCAAGGAGUAGCUUCUCCCCCUCACCUCCCACUCAGCAGAACGCACUAGCCCUGUGCUCUUCUGAUCCUGAAGGCAGCUGAGUCUGAAAAGUUCCUGUACCUUUAAAGGUACUAGAGGCAGUGUGGUGCCCACUCAGGAACUGCAUGAUUUAAAUAGGUUUCUAGGAUAAAGGCAACUCGUAGCACAAAGGAACAAGUCCCAGGGAGUGGCAUUCCAGAUCAUUUGAUUCCUGAGCGAAGGAAUUAUUAUGGUGUGGAGGUGGGGACCUCCUUACUACAUUCCAAAUUGCAAUAAGGUUGUAAGGGUUUUCUCUUCCAUUCUGAAGUACUUUGACAAUAGUUUUGAACUUCAAAAAUGUUUAUUAAAGGUGUUUUCACAGCAGUUUCAUAAUGUUUAAUUUGUUAAUUACUGGAAUUGAUGCUAAAUAAAACAGGCAAGUAAUACUUCAGAUGGCUUCAUCUUCAGAGUCUUCUUCAUGUGUGACUCAAAAUGCACAAUUUUGGCCGGGCACAGUGGCUCACGCCUGUAAUCCCAGCACUUUGGGAGGCUGAGACAGGCGGAUCACCUGAGGUCAGGAGUUUGAGACCAGUUUGGCCAACAUGGUGAAACCCCAUCUCUACUAAAAAUACAAAAAUUAGAUGGGCAUGGUGGUGUGUGCCUGUAAUCCCAGCUGCUUGGGAAGCUGAGGCAGGAGAAUUGAUUGAACCCAAGAGGCGGGGCUUGCAGUGAGCCGAGAUCCCGCUCCAGCCUGGGCAACAAGAGCGAGACUCCGUCUCAAAAAAAGAAAAAAAAAGCACAAUUUCAGGACAGCCUAAGCAAAUAAAAAAUGGGAAAUGGAAAUGGAUUCGAAGCAGGGAGGACGUUCCGCCCACUGUCACACCGAAGGAAUGGUGGAGGCUGUGAGUCCUCCGCCCACUGUCACACCGAAGGAUGGUGGAGGCUGUGAGUCCUCCUGUAAGCCGCCGCUGGAGAAGGGGCAGCUCUGGAACCUGACGACAUUCUCCUAUCUUGCAUGAGGUGGAGACAAAGAGUCCUUCUGCGCUGGGACAGGAUGAGGGCGAAGUGGUGACUUCAGGUCAGAAGCAGAGCCUUGGGGACCUCUGAUUCUCAAGGGCGAGCUCCCUCCAGAACCCCAAGAGAUGGCCCUGACUGCAUGGGAAAGCGUGUCUCACCAUUGCAAUGUUCUCUAAGUCUGGAGGAGGCGGAGCCCAGUGAGAAUGACAGGCAGACCGCAAGGAGGCCCGGAAGCCCCCCAUGGCGAGGAUGCAUCCAAGUGUAUUCUGUAGGAGUGACCAGUGGCCACGUGGGUAGUGGGCAGAGCUUGUUUUCCUCCAAUAUCAGCGUACAGAGCAGGGGAGCCUGGUGAAGGUUUCUCUCUGAAAUCAUGGAUUCAGCUGUAUUAGUUUCUAUCCAAGGCUGGCAUAGCUCACCUUCCACUCCAGCAAUGACCUCGGGCCAGCUGUCACGAGCCUUCUCACCACGAGGAUGGUCUGGGGUGGUGAGAUCUCACUGUUGGCCAUAAUUCAUUCAACAUUUCUUCACUUCUCUGCUUGUAAGUUUUCAUUUCCUCUGCAGCUGGUAGCUUCUGUCAUUUCUUUUCCUAUUUAUACCAGUCCUGAAUCAGCUUCUUUUUCAGAACCAUGCAUUUCUCUCGGUAGAGGUCG